rnacentral:rRNA from 1 species
GACGGGGGGUGCAAGCGUUAUCCGGAAUCACUGGGCGUAAAGCGUCUGUAGGUGGUGAUGCAAGACACUGGUGCAAUACUCUGGCUCAACCGGAGGAAAGCCAGUGAAACUGCAUGACUAGAGUGUGGGAGAGGUAGAAGGAAUUCCCUGAGUAGCGGUGAAAUGCGUAGAUACAGGGAAGAACACCGGAGGCGAAAGCGUUCUACUGGAACACAACUGACACUGAGAGACGAAAGCUAGGGGAGCGAAUGGG